rnacentral:lncRNA from 1 species
CUGGUCUGUGACAGAAGCCGCGUCUCACAUAAAUGUGUUAGAGCUGCGAACAGUAGUCCUAGCUCUACAACACUUUCUGCCCAGGCUGAGUGGUCAGCAUGUACUAGUGAGGACGGACAACACUGCGACCUUGGCGUAUAUAAAUCGCCAGGGCGGAGUGCGCUCCCCGUCAUUACACCAUUGGGCGACUCGCCUGCUCCUGUGGGCAGCGAGGCACGUCCUGUCCCUCAGGGCAGUUCAUAUACCAGGCCACCUCAACUACGGUGCGGACCUGUUAUCGAGGGGCGAUCCUCGAGCAGCAGACUGGUGCCUUCACCCACAAGUGAUAGGUCAGAUCUGGGUGCGUUUUUUCAAGGCGCAGGUGGACCUGUUCGCGAACAGGCAGAACACCUGCUGCCCGCUCUGGUUCUCGCUAGGGGGCGACGAUCCCCCACUAGGCAUAGACGCGCUGGGCCACCAGUGGCCAGCCCUACCCCUAUAUGCUUUUCCCCCGAUCCCGCUCCUCCAGCAGGUGCUGUGCAGGAUUGCGGGCGAGGGCAGGGAAUUGAUAUUGAUAGCCCCCCACUGGCCCAACCAGCCGUGGGUGGCAGAUCUGGUCAAUAUGUCAGUGCAGCAGCCUUGGGAGCUGCCUCUACGGAGAGACCUCCUAACGCAGGCGCACAGGACAGUGUGGCACCCCCAUCCGGAGUGGUGGCGUCUCAGAGCCUGGCACCUGAAAGGUGCAGGCUCAUAGCGUCAGGCUUGUCGGACGCGGUGGUGGCUACAAUACAGAGUGCCCGAGCUGUAUCAACACGGGCUCUGUAUACGCUGAAGUGGCGCAGUUUUGAGCAGUGGUGUGCUGCGCGUCAGCACGACCCCGUUAACUGCGCGCUGGGCGUUAUUCUCGAAUUCCUACAGCAGUUGUUUGAUGAGGGGAAGGCGGCUUCUACUCUCAAAGUGUACAUGGCUGCCAUUUCAGCCUGCCACGCAGGCAUUAAUGGCAGUUCUCCUGGCAGUCACCCGCUAGCGUCACGCUUUAUGGCGGGGGUGAGACGGCUCAGGGUGCCAGAGAGACACCUCAUACCCUCUUGGGAUCUG